CGCCAUCGAGCGAAGGUUUAGUUCAAAGUAAACGAUCGUUUCAAUCGUCUCAUACGAAACUUUAUUCGAUACAAGAUAAGCAGAUUGUUGUAGUAAUUAUUCAAACGUUAAUGCAACAAUGGCAACUGCCGUAUUCUUGAGGGCAAGUCUGCGACUUGCAAUGGCACGGGGUGUUUUGGAAAAUACAGUGACAUCUGCAAUGUCUACAGCAUUCAUAGGAGCUCGAAAGCCAUCCAUUAAUUUAAUGGAACAGCCACAGAUGCCUCAGUUGACGAGGAGGUUCUAUAGUAAGAAGAUUCACACGCGACCUUCAACAUCUAUCGAUUAUGAAAGUGAUAGCGAUUCCGAUAACGAUUCAGACUCGGAACGCGAUCGGACUCAGAAGUUACAGGGUGAAUCUGCUUUCUGGAGACGAAAAAUGCGCACACUUCACAGUCACCUUGAUGUUAACAAGGACGGAGUGAUUAGCUACGAUGAUUUCAUGCUUCUAGGCGAAAGAUUUGCUGACCUGGGACAUCUCGGACCGGACGCCAAAAAAGAAUUCCAGAAAGUCCUCGGUGAAAUGUGGGAGGAACAGUGGGGUGAAAUAAGCCCUUACAAUCUUGUUGGCGUUGAAAAGUAUCUGGACGAAAUGCACCAUGUGCUCAAUGAUAAGUCCCUCAAACGCAAGUGUCACAAUUUCCUGCCUUAUUUAUUUAAGGCUGUGGACAAGGACAAAAGUGGCGAAAUCUCGGUUGAAGAGUUCAAACUCUUUUUCCAGUGCUUGGGUCUCACCAGUGAAAACGCCGCGGUAAGUUUCAGCUACAUUGACACCAAUGAUGACGGAAAGCUUAGUCGCAAAGAGUUUGUGAGACUAGGAAGAGACUUCUUUCUCACGGAAGACCAUACGAAACCAAGCAAACAUUUCUGGGGCCCAUUGGUCGCCUAAGGAACGCUGCGAAGCAUCCAACUCAUAAUCACCAGGUCUUCUGGAUUUUAUCAUGACAACGACAGUUCUGUCAUGCCAUUACGUAGCUAAGAUAGAGCAAAGAACAUUUCGACUCGUUAGCUGACUCGUUAACUGAAGAAUGAAUCUUUGGUCCACGCCUGACGAUCGAAGGGCCAAGCCGCUUUAGUCGGCAAUAGGCAGAAAAGAUAAA